UCAGGUGCGCGGCUGUGGGGCGCAGCACGGCUCCCCACCCGCCGCGCCGCUCGGCCUCGUAAUUAGAAGCCUCCACACUCCGCUGCAUAAAGGCAGAUUGCAAGGACAGCGUGAAGCCCUUGUUUGAAGCUGGGGGCACAAAGAUUGCAGUGCCUCUGAUGGAUGGAGACAAAGACUCCGGCACAGGACUAAAUGAAAAUUGACACUGCAGUGUAUCCUAGCUACAGGAAGGAAAGAGGAGGAGGAAGAAAAGGAUGGAGGACAGGACCUUUGGGUGAGAAGAAUGUAAGAGAGUGAGGGGAGUGUCAGUCUGUGUCAUGUAGCCUGUUAUAAAACAGUCACUGACUUCUAUUUUACCACGAUUUCACCACCUUUUUGCAUCUUCUGAGCUGCUGCCAUGGCUUGUUUGUGGGUUCCUCUGCACCUGACCCUCCCCAGCAACACUACAGCUUCUCAUCCCACUGCAGCAGCAAAGCAACCGAGAGAAAACCAAACAGCUCAGGCAACUUGAACACAGCACAGCAACAGACUGACAAAAAGCAGCAAAGCCAAAAGUGCUUGAAUAACAAAACUGAGGAAAAAAACCCCAGUAGAGCCACUCAGAAACUGUGAAUUGCCAGACAAGCUCCCUUGGAAAGAGCAUAAGAGGCAGGUUCAGGGAAGAGCAAUAUCCAUAAGGCAACACAGCGUCAGUGUUUUUUUCCCCCUAUUUAUAAUGACGAGUUAACAGAGGCUGGAAUAGAACAAAACAUGGAAGACUUUCAUAGUAAAAAUCAGGACACUGUGCCAAGGAUGUCUGCCCUGAAAUCAAGUUAUCCAUGAACUCACAUUUGUAGGCACUUAAAAACUAGCAAGAUCAUUAACAAGCUAACAAGAACCACCAGCAAAAGGAACAUAACCUGGAUUCACUAAAGUGUUUCAUUCUGAAUCAUGAAAGGGCAAAGGCAUCCAGACACUGAGUUGCCACAGCUAAAAAAAAACCUAACAAAAGAUGCUGUGAUGCACGCUACCCUACCUUUUCCAUACCAGUACAAAUGCUGCUACAUCAAAGUGGACUCCAUCCUACUGCCAAUCUGCCUGUCUUGUGCUCUCCCCACUGUUCAAAAAGUACAGUAAUUUCAUAAGUGCUACAACAUCCUCCAGAAAACCAGACUGGAACAAACACUGAACAGCUCAGCUCAAGAAUUUCCUUUGUUCCUCUGCACAGACUCAUUGAACCACUGAGCUCCAUGACCAGCCCACUGCUCUUUGGAAAUCAGCAGUUUCAAGGGAGCAAGGCAACCUUAGAGUGUGGGAUCUGCAAGGACAUCUCUUGACUUGUGACUAUUUCUCAUUCACCAGGGUUUGAGGAAAUACACCAUGGGUAGUCCUGCUUUGGCAGUUCAUGCCAACCUUGAAACCUGCAGUGGUUUUGCUUUGGUUGGCAGCAUACAGGGACAAACCUGUUUAUGCCUUCCUUCUGAAAUGAUCUUACAAGCUUCAGAUCCACUUUUAUGCUGGUUGUGUCACGUAUUUCAGCAAAGAGCAGCAUGGUUUCAUCACGUGGUAGAUCUGCUCUAAUUUUUCCGCAGCAAGACGUGUAGUCACCUGAACAAAUCUUUUCACCAGAUCUUUCUGGGGAACUGAUGAUGAAUACAAAUUUGGGGAACUACAAAGAGGUAAGCUGUAGAGAGCUUUUGAAUGUUUACAAGCUGAUCCAGAUCUGUGGCAUUCAGAAACUACGUAAAACCAACUUCACUUCUUCCAACUUCCCAUGUUACAAAGAGUUUGCAUAAACUACUUCACAGAUCCUAGAUUUAUUUAAGAAAGCACCUCAGCCAGCACCUUUCUUCCAGCCCAGCUCACACUCUCUGCAGCUCUGCUCCCAAGAGGACAUGCAGUAAAUCCCAUCAAAGCAGUGGGAGAGCCCAGCCUGGCCAUGGAGCACGGUCAGAAAAAAGGUUCCUGCCCAAUGUGGAGGGGCAGGGGAGCAAUCCUGGUCUCCUAUGCCCUGGCUUGUGGGCUCCCAGGCUCCCAGAAGAGCAGGCCUGCCUGUGCUGCCAGCAGUGAAGCCAUGCAGAGCUGGCACGGCUCCUGAUGACCCUGGAGAUGGCAUCAGGCAGAACUGUAUGAGAUCAGACAAGGAGGAGAACAGAAAGGGAACAAGAGAUUCCAGAGGGCUCUUCUGCCUCUGAAUCUUGUUACUGUUGACUCCUUUACCGUGAUUAACUCCUUGACAUCCUCCUUCUGUGACAAGUGGGGGAGGACAGACUGAACUCAGUGAUUAAUUUAUCAGUGAAUUGCCUCCUUCCCCUUCAAACCUCGCCCCCACUGAUAUCUUUAUGAUUUAGCACCACCUCAUGAGGGGUUUACAGCCUCAUGUUUUACAGGUUUGGCAGUUGUCACUUCACCACUGAGAAACUCCAUUCGGGACAUUGUAUGUUCCUUCAACAGACCUGGUGGUAAUGGUUUGCAAGCUUCAGCCUACCCCACAAGCUCUGCAUGAGGAAAAGAAAUCCUCUCCUCCUGAACCUCUUGCUCAAAUGACAGUAAUUAGGGAAUCUCAUCACUCUAGACCUGGAGAGGGAGGGGACUUUCACGGUAAUUGGAGACAUUAUAUGAAGCCACACUGUGCUUAUAAAAAAAAAAAGAGUAAAACCACACACAGAGGAAACCAGCCCCCUUCUUCCAACCUGGCUGGCAUUUCCUGGAUAAACUGCCUUUUUUCAGGCACAUCGUGUGCUUUUUAAUGCUGGAGACUACUGGAAGGACUCCUGCAGCCCGAUUAAGUGUAAUGCAGUGUAAAAAAAUAGAAAGGAGGGGGAAAACCCUCGGAAAGGCAAUCGAAGUGAAAAAUCUAUCAACAGCACGGGGGCUCCAGGGGAGCCAGGAGUCCUGUUCUGAACAUGCUCCGACUUCCCAGUCGUUUGCUCUGCCGGACACUCCGGGGACCCCAGCACAGCAAACUACAAUUUCUAGUAAAUAUAUCCCAGGGACACAAUUAGUUUUUCAGCUGGGGGCAUGAUAAAUUGGUCAUGCAUAAUUCAAGGCCAGCACAGGCUGAGCAUAAACUGCUCGGUGGCAGCUUCCAGCUCCCUGACAGGAGAAUGCAAAUGUGCUGCUGGCGCAGGGGCUGCCGGACCCGCUGCUGCCUGCACCUCCCUGCCUGCUCCCCUGCCCACAGACCACUCCAGCCCUUCCUCCUGUGCAUCCCUGGGUGAUUUUAAUUUCACAGCCAUGUAUCCAUCACUGUCCGGUGGCCUUUGGGGACCCAGUGCACAUUGUUAUCACAACAAAUACCGCUCUCUGCUCGAGCUACUCUGUUUUUUCCAUAUGCAGGCACAAGAGAAUGGUUUUGGCACAGAAAGAGGCCGAGGGACUGUGUGGUCUAUUGUCAGCACUAGAUGGCCUGGGGCAAGUAAUUUCCAAUCUGCUUCAGUGUUCCCAUCUACACAAUGGAGAUAAUUCCAACCACGCAACUGCAGAGUUAGCGAGACACGCUCAGUUUGGAGUCUGAUAAAGGUCUGAGAGAUCCUGAGGAUGUGCAGCCUGCACAAACAACACUGUCAACUUCUCUGAGCUUAUUUUAGGUAUCUCAAUAAAUACAUCUGCCUGCUCAAAGCAGGAGCACAAGAGAACUCGCUGCUUCACGGAAGCUGGCGUAGUGAUACAUGAAGUGAAAACUCCAAAGAAACUUUGGGAGGCCUUCAAAAUGAUGUCCUCGAGUUCCUCAGUGCAUUCCAGUACACACUGGAAAAUUCUGCUAGAAAAAUCAUUAUAGAUACAUUCUCAGAUACAGCCAUGUAAGUGAAGGCUGACAGACACGUUUCACCAGCUGCAGUUUUCCUAUCUACCAAAAUCACGAAACCACUCCUCUGGAUCCACUGCCAUUUUCUGGCAUUUUAAGUCCAGUUUGUGGAAAAUAUUCUCAAAAAGGAGGGCUGAAAUGGAAUGGGGCAUUAACAAAGAAAAAUUUUGUUUCAUUUUGGCUGUGUAUCUGUAGAUAUGAAAGCCCUUUAAUUUCAUGGUCAGUUUCACAUACCCAAAUAGGCGAGUUUGAUUUACCUAAUAGUGAAAAUAAUCCAGGUCUGUCUGUUUAUUUUAACAGAAAUACUCUUUGGGAUUUUUUUUUUCUGAACUCUCUUGCACAGAGCUGGGUUUUCCUUGAAUGAGACAAAAUAAAAUAAAAUCCAAGAUUUUAUACCUGCAGAGAUACAGAGGGUACAAAUCCAUGGAGCACAGAUGUUAAGCAUGGUUAAGACUGAACAUGCUCAUCAACUUCAGUCACACUAUUCUGCCAGUACUCAAAGUAACCCUGUUACUGAGUCCAGGGAAAAACCAAACAGUAACAGUAAGGAUACUUUUUUCUUCCAAUUUAUUUUUAAACAAGUACUUCUUAUCCAAGGAGUCAGGACCCUUUUGGCAAGACCACCACAGAGGAAAUCUCAAUGCUCAGUUCAGUGCAACCCUGCUUUGAAAGGGCCAAUGCCCUCUGUCAUCCUCUUGUAACAGAUGCUCUCCGACCAAGCAACAUCCACCCUCUGACAUCCUUUGUGGAGAAGGUAAGAAGUCUAAUGUAGCUGAACAUUUCACUCAGUCUUUGCCUUCCCAACUAAACCAGUGUGCACUUGUGUGCACAUAUACACACAUAAUUAUCUGAAAAGCUAUUACAAAAUUUCAUUUUGGACUAGAUUAACUACAUUAGUGCUUCAGAAAUAAACCACAUAUUUAACUGAACUUCCAGAGUUUUGUAUGAUUCAGCAAGUUUGUCUUGUGUGGACACCUUCACCCCUGAAAGAGAUCCUUCAAUGACAAACCAUUUAUGAAGCUGAAUUACUGGGACAAGGGUGAUGGUGCUCCUGAGGCUGAGACAUUUGCAGGACUGAAUCUGAAGACUGGAUUUUGGUCCCAAAAGGUUUUUUAGUCACAAAGAAUAUGCAGCUCUGACAGUUUCUGAUGUUUGCCAGCAGACUUUUUAGGAGCUGGUGAGUGCAACAAUUUCACCAACAAUUUCAAGUGUUGCCAAACUAAAUUCUGGGCUGGAACAUAAGCCAAUUACAGAGCAGGAGCUGAGGGUGAACUGACUGAUCACUCACUCUUGGUAAGAAUAACACUUCCUGCAAGACACCAAGCCCCUUCCUCUCCCAAUUAAACAAAAAAAUAUACAAACCUCUUAAAAUUUAAAUAGUGUUUCAAAGGUCAGCUCUGUUCACAUCAGCCAACAGGGAUUAUAUUAAAAAAACUCCACUAUGAACAAAAUUUUUUUACUCUAGUGAAAACAGCAAGAACAAAAUAGUGCUAAUGAGCAUUGUUCUUUCUACAAACAUUGGUAGGCUUUUUAUCUUCAUACAUGAAAAUCUUCUCCAUUAAGACAAGAUUUCCUGGCACACUAAUUGUUGUCCCAGCUAUAAGGGCUGUCCAUCUCACAGCAACCCACAGAAACAUGGAAUGGUUUGGGUUGGAAGGGGCUUGAAAUCCCAUUUAGUUCCAACCCCUUUGCCAUAGGCAGGGAUGUCUUCCACUAAACUGUUCAAAGCCCCUCCAGCCUGGCCUUUAACACUUAAUUCCACCUGUAGAAAAAAUGUGUGCUCUCAGCUGGGCAAGGUAAAAAGAGCAAGGAGGAAGCUUCAAGAUGCCACAGCAACACAACUCUCCUCUGGGAUAACCACUGCAGAAGACUGUCCAUAAAUAUGGUGAUGCUUGGAGAAGCAAUACCUGUGUAGUCACCAUCCUGCAGACAGAACUCUGCAUUUCAUUUACACAGCUCAUAUCUACAACACACAGUAAGCGGAGCCUCCCAGGCAUUUACAAGGCUAGAAAAUUAAAACUGCAGUUUGGUCCGAAAUACUAAAAAACCCUUGGUAGUUUCACAGAGCCAAGAGCCUCUGAGAGAGGCUGAACCAGCAAUUCCUUUCUGAGCUUCCACUGGAAAAAGAUUAGAAGAACAUUACAUAUAAUAUACCCAUAUGCUUUGUUUUGCUUGCUUUUUGUUUUGCCUUUUAAGAAACUUCCCCUCCAGAAUAUUAAAAGUAACAAAUUUUAAAAAUUUUUUAACAAACACUAACCUCAGAUCAUUAGCCAACCUGGCAACAGACCAGAGAAAAUUUAUAGCCGACGUGCAACAUCAGCUUUCAUCCAGAAAUGCUAAUUUCAGUAAAAUGAAUAGUGUGUGGGCUUUUCAUACUGCUUUGCAUUUGGCUCCUCACAGCCCUGUUUAAAGCCUGGGAACCGGCCAUAUAGUUAAACUGCACAGAUGUUCAACAAUCUGUACUUGUGUUAAUUACCCUAAUGUGAGCAGAAACUCAACAGAUCCCUGCUAAUGAAGGAGAAAGUUUUCCAGUGUGACUACCGUAUGUUUCAUUGUCACUGUAUUACCAAGCUUCUCCCCCUCCUUCCCCUGCCCCCCCAGCUCCCAUUCUCUGCAGCUCCUUUGCAUUCACAUCACCCUCCUACCUCAGCAUGCAUGAAUUGGACCAACUAAUGACUGUGUAUUCGCAACAUGGCAGACACCAUUAGGCUGAUCGGAGGUGCGGCUGCUGAAUUUUAACAGCCAGUUUUAAACAAGCGUCUGUCUGCUCCGCUCCCUGCUGCCAAUCAUCACCUCCAGCCACCUCUCUCAAAGCAAUCUGCUCAGCAAGCAGCAGGCACAGGGGGCUGGGGAAGGGCAACUGCCUUGCCCCAGUAAGCCCCAGGUGACCUCUGAACGAUACCAGCCCUGGCCUGAGCCAGAGUUCACAUCUCCCAGGUGCCAGCACUUCACAGGCAAGCCAGUCUGCACCAGCAAAUUGUAUUACAAUGACCCUCAUGGGAACAAAUGUACUCGCCGUGCUUGACUUGACUGGCAGACUCCCACCCCAGAGGAAGGGGGGGAGGCAGUCAACUUUGCUCAUUUAUUACAUCCACCCUGCUAGGUCAGCCUCUUUGUUCACAGAGCCAACAACUGCAAACUCAGAGAUGGGGCAGCAGCUGCCAUCCAGAGAGCUCAGCAUGUUCCACCCCUCUGCUCAGGACUGGGCACUGGCUGCCAGCUCUCCACCCGACAAAGCUCGAGCUCCCCCUCAAAAACCUUGUUCUUCAUGAAUUGAGGAGACGGAGGAGGAACGGCACACAAAAAGGUGGGGAGGGGAUCCAGCAUAACCCAGAAAGAGGUGAAAAUUAUUUAGAGAGCACUUGGCUCUUUUCUCCUACCUCUUCAUCAUUAGCACUGGAAGCAACACAGCUGUCUAAUGGCAACUUCAGACACCCAUGGGCCAGCAAAGCGACAUUUUCCACACUUAAAUAACACUGAGCUGAUUUAAUUACUGCACUUAAUAGUAACAAAAGAUGUCUCAAUUUAAUCUUCAAAUGGCCCUCCAAGAUCAAAACACAGCUGGCUGGAUAACAAGAUGGCCUAGGCCAGCAAACAAGUAGGUCCAAUUUGCUCAAGAGCUGCAUCCACUCCUCAGUAUGAAAGGCCAAGGAACACUUGUGUGUGGAGCGAAUCAAAGGAAGCAGCGCUCCCAUCGCCCCCUCCCUCCCUGCCCGACUUCUGUUGUGGAGAGGAAAAAUAAAAAGGCAGCUGAUUCACGGGUAAAGAAACGCAACAUGAUAAAAGAACAAAUGAUUAUGUUUGGGAGAGAAAGAAAAGAAGUAAGAAUCAAGAUUUAACAGGUUUUGCUUUUAUAAUCCUUCAAGACGAUUAGGAAUGAAUGAAUCAGAUUAAAAUCACAUGGAGACAAAGGGAGGUCUCUAACUCUUUUGUUUUUCUUUCCAUACUGGACAGAAGGAGAUGGCUCAUUAAGGAAAGCCCUCAAGACACAGCUAUAGUGAGGAACAACCAAGAUUAUUUUUUGGGCAAGAAAAGUAGAGAAAAAUUAACCAUUUACUUCUAAUAUUCUCUAAUUGUCCAUACUGGGCAGUGAUUGUUACUUUUUGCAAACUAUUCUAAGAAAUGUCCCUCUCUUGAGCAGCUUUCAACGCAUACUCCUGCUGACACAGGGGCCAGGCCUCUGCAGGCACCUUCCCGAAAUUGUCAAGCUUUUGCACGUUCCAUUACAGCUAAACACAGAAAGGUUACAGCCAAUCUUUCUGCCACUGCAACAUUUCUGCGAUCCCGAGCGGCAGGAAAGUCUAAGUAAGCUCUCGUGAUAUACCUGGGAUGUAGCUUUCCAACUCCCCCUUCCAGCUACUGAGAGCAACACGAGUGCACAUAGCCCACAUUUUGGACCUAAUUUUACUAGCAAUAAUUAAAAACAAGUUUGCUAUAAACCAGGUUGUUGAGCUUUGUGGGGUUACUCUGGAUGAACAAGAGUCUGUGGGAUAUUGUUGCUGAAAGCUUAGAAAGUUUUCUCUAGUAAUUUUUCCUGAACUUUUUCUCUUGGUGGAGAACUAGGAUGAGGCAACUGAAGUGUAACAAUUUUCUUGGAGUCCUGGAUCAUGUUUCUGGGGAAUAUGGUUUCUUUGGGUUGUGUUUUUCAUUAAAUACAGAGCUUAUUUCAUCAACAGCAGUUCUUAAGCAACAGAUGAUGUCACUGGCCACUGCACCAUGAAUGUAGAAGACUGGGGACAUGGGGAAAUUCCCUCCAACUCUGGUAACUCCCCCCUCCUCUCCCUGGACUGUGACACGACAGAGGAAGAUAAUGUCCACGUUUAUAACAAUCAGAGCCAGACAAACCACUGGUUUCCUCGAAUACCCUGGCAGGGAUGAGAUGUCUGAUCAGAAUCACUGAAGCAGGAGGGGUUGGGAGAGGUCUUCUCCUCUACAGGGCUAAAUCUAUAUUCAAUUGGGUUUUAAAGGGCAUGGGUUAUCUGAGUUUGCAUGCAAAUUUCAGACUAAUUCCCUCAUUGUUUAUUUAAGUACCUUUCUUUCCCAGUGACUUUGA